rnacentral:rRNA from 1 species
UAGGGAAUCUUCGGCAAUGGACGAAAGUCUGACCGAGCAACGCCGCGUGAGAGAAGAAGGUUUUCGGAUCGUAAAACUCUGUUGUUAGAGAAGAACAAGGACGUUAGUAACUGAACGUCCCCUGACGGUAUCUAACCAGAAAGCCACGGCUAACUACGUGCCAGCAGCCGCGGUAAUACGUAGGUGGCAAGCGUUGUCCGGAUUUAUUGGGCGUAAAGCGAGCGCAGGCGGUUUCUUAAGUCUGAUGUGAAAGCCCCCGGCUCAACCGGGGAGGGUCAUUGGAAACUGGGAGACUUGAGUGCAGAAGAGGAGAGUGGAAUUCCAUGUGUGGCGGUGAAAUGCGUAGAUAUAUGGAGGAACACCAGUGGCGAAGGCGGCUCUCUGGUCUGUAACUGACGCUGAGGCUCGAAAGCGUGGGGAGCAAACAGG